UACGUAGGGUGUAAGCGUUGUCCGGAAUUAUUGGGCGUAAAGAGCGUGUAGGCGGCUUGAUAAGUCUGCUGUGAAAGUCCAGGGCUCAACCCUGGAAAGCCGGUGGAUACUGUCAAGCUAGAGUCCGGAAGGGGCGAGUGGAAUUCCUGGUGUAGCGGUGGAAUGCGCAGAUAUCAGGAGGAACACCGGUGGCGAAGGCGGGUCUCUGGGCAGUAACUGACGUUGAGGAGCGAAAGCGUGGGGAGCGAACAGG
rnacentral:rRNA from 1 species